GUUUUAUUUGUUCCACAUGAAGGGUGAAUGGUGCUUUCACCUCACAUAUGACACUUGGCCCUUUUUGCACCAUUGUAAAUGGUGGUGACCGCCAUUUACCUGGCCAUCAAGUGACUGGCUGUACUACCUUACAGGCCCCUGGGUACUGCUUCCAGAUGGGCAUAGUGGUCCUGCUAGGCUGCAGCUGUCUUGGGCUUGUCACAUCCCAGAACAAGCAAUCCAGUGGCUCCUGGAGGGGUCAGCAUGGGCUGUAGACAUGGCAGACAGGCUUCACACAAACUUGGGGCUGGCCUGGGCCUUGGACAGCUACUUGGUGGGAAACCUGUUUCUGAAGAUACCAUCUUCAGGAUGUUCCAUGUCAUCCAUUUCAUACAUAUAUGAUGAUGCUAUUGCAAGCGUAGUCCCAUCAUUACUGAAGGCAAGUGAUGCGAUGCUCGUGGGGUACCGAUGGAACUGGCACAACCGCUUUCUGUUAAAUGGAUCCCAAAUAUUUACAAAGCCAUCAGAACCACCUGUGGCAAAUGUAUUGUGGAUAUUGUGAAAAGAAAUGGCAUUGACUGGGUAAAUCUGCUCAAUAUUAUUUUCUUUUAGUCUGUGACAUUUGAAGGCAUAUUUCUUCUUCUGUAUCUCAGGGCUUGGGUCCAAAUACUCAACUGCCACUCGGCCUUCAAUGGAACUUAAUACAUAACCCCGCUUGUUUGGAAACGCUCCUAUGCAGCGAGACUGGAAUUUCAGGCUGGACUCCCUGUGCUGCUGCACGUAACCCAUGUUCCAUAAGUCCUACACCAACACUCUGCGGCCUGCUGUUCCCACAAUCAGCCGGUCUCCAGACACUGAGAGGGUAUAUACCUUUUCAGGCUGAGAGAAGGUCCCGGCAUUACAGGGAGUUCUGGGAUCCUACAACUUAACUGUCCGAUCCCAACUUCCAGUAACCAUCAUCUGAUAGGAGCAUCAUGGGUCCCAACAAGAUUUUCUUGAUCAGUGUUCAAAUCAUGCAUUUUCAAUUGAUGAUCUAGCCCUCCGCUCCAGGCAUGCGUUGGAUCGUAGAAGGCGCAGUCCAAGACCGCGCCGGUGUGCUGGUACUUGAGCCACAUGGAGUUGGCUGGCACAUCGUAGAGGCGCACGGACGUGUCCCAGGAGGAGACAAGCAGGAACUGGGAGGUGUUGGGGCUGAACUUCACCGAGGAGACGCCAUCCUCGGGUGGCUCGUUCAACUUGAACUAGUUAGAACCGGUCAUCUUGGGCUCCCUUAAGAAGCAAGGUUUCCACCGCUAGCCACUCACUGUCGCCGCUGACUCUCAAUAACUUUUUACAAAUGGGUUAUAUACACUAUGGUUAGCACAGUAGAAAAAUAUAUUUACCUAGGGUCAGAAAGAUGAAUCUAUGUUUCGGUUCUGUCCUCGUUGGCUGGAGGAACUUGAAUAAUUCACUUGAUAUUGUAGGAAUUGUUCCCAGAACACAGAUUCUAAGACAGACGUUGGUGUUCAGGUGUUUAUUAGGAAGCACUUCGGGAUGAGCAGCUGUGGAAGGCAGAGGAGCAGUUGAUCUGAGAUGUACCUGAUAGCCUCAACUAACCCACUGCA
ensembl:lncRNA